UAGGGAAUCUUCCGCAAUGGACGAAAGUCUGACGGAGCAACGCCGCGUGAGUGAUGAAGGUUCUCGGAUCGUAAAGCUCUGUUGCCAGGGAAGAACGGCUAGGGGAGUAACUGCCCUUGGCAUGACGGUACCUGAGAAGAAAGCCCCGGCUAACUACGUGCCAGCAGCCGCGGUAAUACGUAGGGGGCAAGCGUUGUCCGGAAUUAUUGGGCGUAAAGCGCGCGCAGGCGGCUGUUUAAGUUUGGUGUUUAAGCCUGGGGCUCAACCCCGGAUCGCACUGAAAACUGGACGGCUUGAGUGUAGGAGAGGAAAGUGGAAUUCCACGUGUAGCGGUGAAAUGCGUAGAGAUGUGGAGGAACACCAGUGGCGAAGGCGACUUUCUGGCCUAUAACUGACGCUGAGGCGCGAAAGCGUGGGGAGCAAACAGGAUUAGAUACCCUGGUAGUCCACGCCGUAAACGAUGAGUGCUAGGUGUUAGGGUUUCAAUACCCUUGGUGCCGAAGUUAACACAGUAA
rnacentral:rRNA from 1 species